rnacentral:lncRNA from 1 species
GGGGCAGGAGGGCUUUGGAGCAAUAGCAGUUCCUAACAGUUGAUCCUUUUGAGCCCAAGCCCUCCAAAUUUGAUCACCAGCUCAAGGUUCUGUGAGCUGCCAGACCCAUAAAUCCAGCUGCCUCUCCCCCUCUCCAUGGAGACCCUCAAAGUCAUCUUGAAGAUGCUCCACGUUGUAAAACGAUAUCACUCCCAAGCUUCAUGGGGUCUUCCCAGAUGUCCCAGUUUCCGAGGCUGGCAUGACCAGUCACCUGGUUCAUUCUCAGUCUAGGACUCAGACUCAUCCUUGUCCCCUCAUUUCCCAAAUGUGGGCUGUGAACAGCUGAGUAGAUGUUUUAGCUGAAAUGUCCCCAAACACCCUUCCAUCCAGUCUCCUCACUGCAGCCUGCAUGAUCUCUUCAGAGUCAAACAAUGGAUGCUCCGGUCCAGCCUCCUUGCCCAGCUCUGCCCUCUCCAGGUCUUUCCUACCUGCUGCUCCCCUCAUUCUGAGCCCCACCACUAGGCGGGGUCCCUUGAGCCCUAGGAGGAUGGAGCCGGGCCCCUC